GAGUUUGAUCAUGGCUCAGAAUGAACGCUGGCGGCGUGCUUAACACAUGCAAGUCGUACGAGAACUCUUUAGCUUGCUAAAGAUAGUAAAGUGGCGCACGGGUGAGUAACGCGUGGGUAAUCUACUUCCGAAUCGGGGAUAACCCGCCGAAAGGCGAGCUAAUACCGGAUAAUAUCUAUAGAACUUCGGUUUUAAAGAUCAAAGGUGGUCUCUACAUGUAAGCUACUGUUUGGAGAUGAGCCCGCGUACCAUUAGCUUGUUGGUAGGGUAAUGGCCUACCAAGGCUUCGAUGGUUAGCUGAUCUGAGAGGAUGAUCAGCCACACUGGAACUGACACACGGUCCAGACUCCUACGGGAGGCAGCAGUGAGGAAUUUUGCGCAAUGGGGGAAACCCUGACGCAGCAACGCCGCGUGAGUGAUGAAGGCUUUCGGGUCGUAAAGCUCUGUCAAGUGGGAAGAACAUGCUUGAUGCUAAUACCAUCUUGCACUGACGGUACCACUGAAGGAAGCACCGGCUAACUCCGUGCCAGCAGCCGCGGUAAUACGGGGGGUGCAAGCGUUAUUCGGAAUUAUUGGGCGUAAAGGGCGCGUAGGCGGUCUCUUAAGUCAGAUGUGAAAGCCCGGGGCUCAACCCCGGAAGUGCAUUUGAAACUAAGUGACUUGAGUAUGGGAGAGGGAAGUGGAAUUCCUGGUGUAGAGGUGAAAUUCGUAGAUAUCAGGAGGAACACCGGUGGCGAAGGCGACUUCCUGGACCAAUACUGACGCUAAGGCGCGAAGGCGUGGGGAGCAAACAGGAUUAGAUACCCUGGUAGUCCACGCAGUAAACGGUGAACACUAGGUGUAGCGGGUAUUGACCCCUGCUGUGCCGUAGCUAACGCAUUAAGUUUCCGCCUGGAGUGCUAGCU
rnacentral:rRNA from 1 species